UUAAGCGACUAAGCGUACACGGUGGAUGCCCUGGCAGUCAGAGGCGAUGAAGGACGUGCUAAUCUGCGAUAAGCGUCGGUGAGGUGAUAUGAACCGUUAUAACCGGCGAUUUCCGAAUGGGGAAACCCAGUGUGUUUCGACACACUAUCAUUAACUGAAUCCAUAGGUUAAUGAGGCGAACCGGGGGAACUGAAACAUCUAAGUACCCCGAGGAAAAGAAAUCAACCGAGAUUCCCCCAGUAGCGGCGAGCGAACGGGGAGCAGCCCAGAGCCUGAAUCAGUGUGUGUGUUAGUGGAAGCGUCUGGAAAGGCGCGCGAUACAGGGUGACAGCCCCGUACACAAAAAUGCACAUGCUGUGAGCUCGAUGAGUAGGGCGGGACACGUGGUAUCCUGUCUGAAUAUGGGGGGACCAUCCUCCAAGGCUAAAUACUCCUGACUGACCGAUAGUGAACCAGUACCGUGAGGGAAAGGCGAAAAGAACCCCGGCGAGGGGAGUGAAAAAGAACCUGAAACCGUGUACGUACAAGCAGUGGGAGCCUCUUUAUGGGGUGACUGCGUACCUUUUGUAUAAUGGGUCAGCGACUUAUAUUCUGUAGCAAGGUUAACCGAAUAGGGGAGCCGAAGGGAAACCGAGUCUUAACUGGGCGUUAAGUUGCAGGGUAUAGACCCGAAACCCGGUGAUCUAGCCAUGGGCAGGUUGAAGGUUGGGUAACACUAACUGGAGGACCGAACCGACUAAUGUUGAAAAAUUAGCGGAUGACUUGUGGCUGGGGGUGAAAGGCCAAUCAAACCGGGAGAUAGCUGGUUCUCCCCGAAAGCUAUUUAGGUAGCGCCUCGUGAAUUCAUCUCCGGGGGUAGAGCACUGUUUCGGCAAGGGGGUCAUCCCGACUUACCAACCCGAUGCAAACUGCGAAUACCGGAGAAUGUUAUCACGGGAGACACACGGCGGGUGCUAACGUCCGUCGUGAAGAGGGAAACAACCCAGACCGCCAGCUAAGGUCCCAAAGUCAUGGUUAAGUGGGAAACGAUGUGGGAAGGCCCAGACAGCCAGGAUGUUGGCUUAGAAGCAGCCAUCAUUUAAAGAAAGCGUAAUAGCUCACUGGUCGAGUCGGCCUGCGCGGAAGAUGUAACGGGGCUAAACCAUGCACCGAAGCUGCGGCAGCGACGCUUAUGCGUUGUUGGGUAGGGGAGCGUUCUGUAAGCCUGUGAAGGUGUACUGUGAGGUAUGCUGGAGGUAUCAGAAGUGCGAAUGCUGACAUAAGUAACGAUAAAGCGGGUGAAAAGCCCGCUCGCCGGAAGACCAAGGGUUCCUGUCCAACGUUAAUCGGGGCAGGGUGAGUCGACCCCUAAGGCGAGGCCGAAAGGCGUAGUCGAUGGGAAACAGGUUAAUAUUCCUGUACUUGGUGUUACUGCGAAGGGGGGACGGAGAAGGCUAUGUUGGCCGGGCGACGGUUGUCCCGGUUUAAGCGUGUAGACUGAUUUUCCAGGCAAAUCCGGAAAAUCAAGGCUGAGGCGUGAUGACGAGGCACUACGGUGCUGAAGCAACAAAUGCCCUGCUUCCAGGAAAAGCCUCUAAGCAUCAGGUAACAUCAAAUCGUACCCCAAACCGACACAGGUGGUCAGGUAGAGAAUACCAAGGCGCUUGAGAGAACUCGGGUGAAGGAACUAGGCAAAAUGGUGCCGUAACUUCGGGAGAAGGCACGCUGAUAUGUAGGUGAAGCGACUUGCUCGUGGAGCUGAAAUCAGUCGAAGAUACCAGCUGGCUGCAACUGUUUAUUAAAAACACAGCACUGUGCAAACACGAAAGUGGACGUAUACGGUGUGACGCCUGCCCGGUGCCGGAAGGUUAAUUGAUGGGGUUAGCGGUAACGCGAAGCUCUUGAUCGAAGCCCCGGUAAACGGCGGCCGUAACUAUAACGGUCCUAAGGUAGCGAAAUUCCUUGUCGGGUAAGUUCCGACCUGCACGAAUGGCGUAAUGAUGGCCAGGCUGUCUCCACCCGAGACUCAGUGAAAUUGAACUCGCUGUGAAGAUGCAGUGUACCCGCGGCAAGACGGAAAGACCCCGUGAACCUUUACUAUAGCUUGACACUGAACAUUGAGCCUUGAUGUGUAGGAUAGGUGGGAGGCUUUGAAGUGUGGACGCCAGUCUGCAUGGAGCCGGCCUUGAAAUACCACCCUUUAAUGUUUGAUGUUCUAACGUUGGCCCCUGAUCGGGGUUGCGGACAGUGUCUGGUGGGUAGUUUGACUGGGGCGGUCUCCUCCUAAAGAGUAACGGAGGAGCACGAAGGUUGGCUAAUCCUGGUCGGACAUCAGGAGGUUAGUGCAAUGGCAUAAGCCAGCUUGACUGCGAGCGUGACGGCGCGAGCAGGUGCGAAAGCAGGUCAUAGUGAUCCGGUGGUUCUGAAUGGAAGGGCCAUCGCUCAACGGAUAAAAGGUACUCCGGGGAUAACAGGCUGAUACCGCCCAAGAGUUCAUAUCGACGGCGGUGUUUGGCACCUCGAUGUCGGCUCAUCACAUCCUGGGGCUGAAGUAGGUCCCAAGGGUAUGGCUGUUCGCCAUUUAAAGUGGUACGCGAGCUGGGUUUAGAACGUCGUGAGACAGUUCGGUCCCUAUCUGCCGUGGGCGCUGGAGAACUGAGGGGGGCUGCUCCUAGUACGAGAGGACCGGAGUGGACGCAUCACUGGUGUUCGGGUUGUCAUGCCAAUGGCACUGCCCGGUAGCUAAAUGCGGAAGAGAUAAGUGCUGAAAGCAUCUAAGCACGAAACUUGCCCCGAGAUGAGUUCUCCCUGAGACUUAGAGUCUCCUGAAGGAACGUUGAAGACGACGACGUUGAUAGGCCGGGUGUGUAAGCGCAGCGAUGCGUUGAGCUAACCGGUACUAAUGAACCGUGAGGCUUAACCUU
rnacentral:rRNA from 1 species